GACGAACCGUGCAAACGUUAUUCGGAAUCACUGGGCAUAAAGGGCGCGUAGGCGGCCCUCUAAGUCAGACGUGAAAUCCCUCGGCUCAACCGGGGAACUGCGUCUGAGACUGGAAGGCUUGAAUUCGGGAGAGGGAUGUGGAAUUCCAGGUGUAGCGGUGAAAUGCGUAGAUAUCUGGAGGAACACCGGUGGCGAAGGCGGCAUCCUGGACCGAGAUUGACGCUGAUGCGCGAAAGCCAGGGGAGCAAACGGG
rnacentral:rRNA from 1 species